CGACCGACUGGCGGCCCCACCGACCGACUCUGAUCGGGCGAGAACCCGACCGAUCGUCGGUCGGGGCGACCAACUGACGGAUGCCAUCACCGGCCAUCCGACAAUCCAUCGCCGACUGGGGAUAUGUCGGGCGUGUCCAUCCCGACCGACUGAACCCAGCGGACCGAUGGCCGACUCACAUGAUGCUCGCCGACCAAUGGAGGGGCCCGACACCACUCAGCUGGCUACCGACUUUGGGUCGGUAGGCUCCUCCAACCACCGUACAGCCGCCAGACGUUGUCAGUUCUGACACGGACAUGCGGCACAGUUACCUAGGGGCAUUGUCCCGUCGAGAGCCGGGUCAACCCUGGUGAUUGGACGGCCACACGGCGACAUGACGUUUUCACGACGACUCUGACAGUCCACAGUGAGUUGACAGGUCCUCACUUGUCCGCGCCAUCAAUGACGGCGCCAUACUGUGCUCCACUAUAUAAACCGGGGAAGGCAACAGUGCAA
rnacentral:lncRNA from 1 species